rnacentral:rRNA from 1 species
UGGGGAAUAUUGGACAAUGGGCGCAAGCGUGAUCCAGCCAUGCCGCGUGAGUGAUGAAGGCCCUAGGGUUGUAAAGCUCUUUCACCGGUGAAGAUAAUGACGGUAACCGGAGAAGAAGGCAAGGCUAACUUCGUGCCAGCAGACGCGGUAAUACGAAGGGGGCGAGCGUUGUUCGGAUUUACUGGGCGUAAAGCGCACGUAGGCGGACUUUUAAGUCAGGGGUGAAAUCCCGGGGCUCAACCCCGGAACUGCCUUUGAUACUGGAAGUCUUGAGUCUGGUAGAGGUGAGUGGAAUUCCGAGUGUAGAGGUGAAAUUCGUAGAUAUUCGGAAGAACACCAGUCGCGAAGGCCGCUCACUGGACCAUUACUGACGCUGAGGUGCGAACGCGUGUGGAGCAAACAGG